rnacentral:rRNA from 1 species
CGGGACACGUGGUAUCCUGUCUGAAUAUGGGGGGACCAUCCUCCAAGGCUAAAUACUCCUGACUGACCGAUAGUGAACCAGUACCGUGAGGGAAAGGCGAAAAGAACCCCGGCGAGGGGAGUGAAAAAGAACCUGAAACCGUGUACGUACAAGCAGUGGGAGCCUCUUAAUGGGGUGACUGCGUACCUUUUGUAUAAUGGGUCAGCGACUUAUAUUCUGUAGCAAGGUUAACCGAAUAGGGGAGCCGAAGGGAAACCGAGUCUUAACUGGGCGUUAAGUUGCAGGGUAUAGACCCGAAACCCGGUGAUCUAGCCAUGGGCAGGUUGAAGGUUGGGUAACACUAACUGGAGGACCGAACCGACUAAUGUUGAAAAAUUAGCGGAUGACUUGUGGCUGGGGGUGAAAGGCCAAUCAAACCGGGAGAUAGCUGGUUCUCCCCGAAAGCUAUUUAGGUAGCGCCUCGUGAAUUCAUCUCCGGGGGUAGAGCACUGUUUCGGCAAGGGGGUCAUCCCGACUUACCAACCCGAUGCAAACUGCGAAUACCGGAGAAUGUUAUCACGGGAGACACACGGCGGGUGCUAACGUCCGUCGUGAAGAGGGAAACAACCCAGACCGCCAGCUAAGGUCCCAAAGUCAUGGUUAAGUGGGAAACGAUGUGGGAAGGCCCAGACAGCCAGGAUGUUGGCUUAGAAGCAGCCAUCAUUUAAAGAAAGCGUAAUAGCUCACUGGUCGAGUCGGCCUGCGCGGAAGAUGUAACGGGGCUAAACCAUGCACCGAAGCUGCGGCAGCGACACUAUGUGUUGUUGGGUA